rnacentral:misc_RNA from 1 species
UGGCUCUCGCAUCGAUGAAGAACGCAGCGAAAUGCGAUAAGUAAUGUGAAUUGCAGAAUUCAGUGAAUCAUCGAAUCUUUGAACGCACCUUGCGCUCCUUGGUAUUCCGAGGAGCAUGCCUGUUUGAGUGUCAUGAAAUCAUCACAACGGACUCCUCUUUGUUGAGCGUAGGCCGAAGUGGACUUGGGGGUUACUGCCGCUGCGUUGUAUUCGCUCUGGCUCCCCUUCAAAUGCAUUAGCUGGCUAAGGGCAAAGUUGGCUCGACUGGUGUGAUAUGUAUGUCUACGCCUCUGCCGACGUGCUUGGAGCUGCUUCCAAUCGUCUUCGGACAACAUUCUUGUGCUCUGGCCUCAAAUCAGGUAGGACUACCCGCUGA